AAUAUUUCACAGCUCACAAAGGUCUCACAUAUGUACUAUGUUAUCUUCAUAAGAAUCCUAUUAAAGUAAGCUGGAUAGGUGUUCUUAUUCCAUUUUACACUUAAGGACCCUGAGGCUCAGAGAGAUGAAGGAAAUUGUCCAAGCUUGCAUAGCUAAUAAGUGGCAGAGGUAGAAAGGAUUCUAUCACCUGUCAUCUGGCUCUAACACUGUAAUCUCUACAGUAGCUACUCUCUAGGGAAGCUAGAAAUGGAGUAGAAGACUAGGAGAUGAGAAAUGGAGGAAAAGGAGGACAAAAAAGGAGAAUGAUAUGAUAGGAACUGACAGAAUUCUAUCAAGUCAUUCAUUUGGUCCUAUGCCUUCAGAGGUCCUAGUGUUAGAUGUGUCUCCCACCAAAAACCAUCUGACAAGUGUUAAUUCUCUCUGCCUCUCCUUAUGCUUUAUCAAUCAUGUAGCUAUAGACUGUUAUUGCUAGAAAGACCCGUAGAAAUCACUCAAACAGCAUUAUUUUAUAGAUAGAGGAUCAGCAUCCCAGAGCAAUGAAGAGACUUUCCCAAGAUCAUACAGCUUUCUGUGUUUUGUUUUUCAAUCAGCGGGUUUUUUAUUGAGCAUGUUACAUGUUCAUUCCUAUGCUAAGCAAUGUGGGAGGAUACAAAGAAGUUUAAGACAGUCUCUGCCUUCAGUCAAUUUAUGGCCUAGAUGGGGAACAAAGAGGAAUGCAAAUACAAUUUGACAGUUAAAUGUUAGUACAUGUGGUUCAGAUUAUAAAUCCAAUAGAAGUAAAAAGAAGCUAGCAUAGCUGGAGAGGGUUUCCUGGAGGAGACAGAAUGAGCUAGACCUUGAAGCGUGGGUAGGAUCUGGAUAGCAACAGAGGAAGAAAAGAGUAUUCUAGAUUGGAAGCACAGCAUGGGCAAAGGCUAGAAGGUGAGAAUCCACAUGGCAUGUUCUGGGGCAUGGGGGGUGGAUGGCUCUGCUUAGGUUGUAUCCCAGGUUUUAGGGACAUAGGGCAGAAAAAGUUAGAGAGGCCAGGUGGGGCCAGAUUAUUAAAAGUCGUGAAAGCCAAGCAGAGUAGUUACAUUCAGAGAGGCAGGCUCUUGAGCAGAGGGUGACAUGGUAAAAGUGGAUUUUAGGAACAGAAAUGUGGUCCCAACGAGUAGGAGAGAUUAGAGCCUGGGAGACCUGUUAGAUGACAAAAAGUGCCCAGGAAGGGACUGGGGGACUGAAUGAAUUACUCCCCCACCCCCACAAAUACACAACAAUGAAUACUACCACCUCCAGUCUUCGACCUGGAAUGGACAAGGAGCUGCUGGGGAUCCUGGUAUCCUACAGAGUCAGAGUCAACCUGAUGGUGUCCUGUGGAGGGUGAGUGAGGGUUCAGGGUCUGUCUGGGCAGGGGCUGGGAGCUGAGGGUAUCUUGCUUCUGUUUUCUUCCCCAUUGGACUGACCCAAUCAAGCUGUCCCCCCACCCCUUCUCCCAGACCAGGUUCCCAAACCUGUGAGCUCAGUGAGUAAGCCACUUUCCCCUCCAGAAACCCAUUCUGUGCCUGAGUUGGCCUUAUGACCCCUCAUCCCCCAGUAAAAUUAGGUUGCCACUUUGCAUUUCCAGCUGCUAAUUUUAGGGUGUCAUUCUACCCUCAGCAUCCUAGGUGACCUGACAGCCAGGUAAGAGACUGUGGGGAGGGGAGACUGGGGCGGGAAGGGGAGGAUGAGGAGAUAAGACCAAAAAAGUGAUGAGGGAGAGUCUGAGGGCAUCCCAGGACCAGAAAACUGAGGGAGAGAGGUUCAGGGAGUGGACUUGGAGGGAGAUCUGUAACUCUACCUUGGGAUCCUUGCAGUGAUGUCGGUGUGGAGCUGCCCCUGAUCCUGAUGCAUCCAAAGCCUUCGCAAGCUCUGAGGACAUAGUCAUCGAGGAGUUUACUCGUGAGCCCGGCGGGGAGGAGACCCAGGAGGCGUUGGCAGCAGAGGGGGACGAGGGGAGCUGAGCACCUUGCUCUGGUGCCGCUGUGUGGGAGCCCCACUGUAACGCUCUAAUAAAUCAGCUUGUCCAGACGUGCCUGGCGAUCUCUUUGGUAUUUCCUCCUCCUGGAGAGUAAUGGAACUAACAAGAACAAGCGCCCUCUUCCCUUGUCAAUGAUUAGAUUACUCUGUAGCAUGUGCUUUCCCCCUUAAGGACCCCCGAUUUCCCUCUGGCGUGGCCACUCGCCCUCUAUGGGUCCUUCAACUUUUCCUUCGGGCCCUGGCCAUCCCCAC